UCCGCCUUCAUAACACAAACUCUCCAUUCCAUUGCUGUUCAACAACAUAUCGCCAGGGAGAUUUUCCAGGUGCAAAUCCAAGAGGCGGUGCUUAUAGGGAAUUAAAGAUUGUUCUUUCUUCCAAGAGGAGAAAGAAGCAUCAUGCCUUCAAACACGGAAAUCUCUGCAACAUCAAAAAGAGUCUGCGAACAAUAGCAGAGAGAUUGGCCAAAUGUAAGUAUCAUGUCAAAAUAUAUGUACACACACACAUGUCAAUCCCGUAUUCUAACUUUAUUGGAUGUUCUACAUAAAAAAAUUAAAUGGCCUUUUUAGUUAUAGCCGCUGCUAAGUGACCUUAGUGGAAAGUUUCUAUUAAUUGAACAUAAUUUUCUUUUUUCUGCCGAAGAUGAUAUCUUAUGAUUGGACUGAAUAUGUAUCAAGGGUGAGAGUUUGAAAUCCCCAGGCAGCCACCAAAUACCUCAAGGGUCAACUACCCUGAGCGAAGCAUUGCCAAUUUAUCACUUCCAUGAAUCAUAGACAACCAUAGCCAAAAUACAAAACCAGAAGUCACUUUCCUUUUUCUUUUUGGCAACAGCCACUUACUUAUUAGAGCAAGUAUCUAAGCAAUCUUUUACCACAAUAUCACUGUUCAAAUAGCUUUUGGAGCCAAAAGAGCAAUAACUUGCAUACAUACUUACAUAGGGAGUGACCUUACCCAAGAGCUAACAGUCACAUGACUAUUGCUUUUAUAUCAAUUUUCAAUUGAUUUAUACCAACUUAAUGCUUUAACUAGACCCAAAAAUGUAGGCACUCAAAACUGCCCUCCAACAAAAUUUUUUUCCUAAUUAAUUAACAUAGAAUUCAUAAGUUUUCUUGAUUUUCCUAUAAAUGUUUUGUUUAAUUUAUUUGGAAGUGGAGCCAUCAUCCAUGGAAGGGAUUGCUAGGAGGAAACUUGUGGGGAUAAUAAUAAGAGUAAUGCCUAUUGCUGUGCUGAUUUUAUAUGUGUCAGUACUGCCUGGGAAAGCUGAGAUAAACUGCUUAGUUUCCCUCCACAUCCCCCCACAUUCUCUUUUUCACUUGCUUCUAAUUCUAGUGAAGACUCAAAACUUACAUAUCUUGUCCCUACAACAUUCAUGAAUGUAGCAGUGAAAUCUUCCAGUGGGUUAAGGAUAAAGUUGGAUUAGGUUCCAGCCAAAUAAAUAGGGUAGGAGUAGGAUUAGGGAAGAAUUGUCAUCAUCAUAUAUUCCGGCUGAAAAAGAGUUCCACUGUCUAUAGAUCAUCCUGACUCCCAAAAAGAAAAGAUUAAGACAUCAAAUGACUCGGAUAACGUACGAGUGACAUACGGCUCCCACUUGGUGAAGGGAGCAGGACAGCCUACCAUGGAAGACUAUGUUGUUGCAGAGACUAGGAAGAUUGGUGAGCAUAAUGUAGGAUUGUUUGCUAUAUUUGACGGCGUUAUGGGCACUAAAGUUCCUGCACACUUGCAGUCUCAUUUGUUUGACAAUAUCAUACUAGAGCCGACUUCUGUGACAGACACGAAGUAUGCAGCGAGGGAAGGAUAUCUUAUAACCAAUACCAAAAUAUUGGAAAUAUCAGUCUUUAGGGUUCAACAGCAGUUACGGCUAUACUAAUGAACCACCAUGGAAAGUCAAAUUAUGAGCUGGUUGUAGCCAAUGUUGGAAAUUCUCGGGGUGUUGUCUGCUGCAAGUAAGGUGCGGCUAAACAACUAUCUGCAUAUUUUUUCCUUUAAUUUUAAACCAAUAACCGUGAAUGUCAUUCUUCAUUCACAAUAUUUGUGUAUUGAACCAUACUAAAAGACAGAUGUUAGUACGAUUUAAAAGCUACACUGGAUGAUGAAGAGAGAUAGAUCUAAUCCAAAACCUGCAGACAGAGGCAAUGAAGAGGUAAACCAGAUAACAAAAUAACUGACAAGAUGACACAACUAUGUAAGUAUCCAUUACAGCAUGCGGGGACUGUUACAUACUAACCCCGCUGUUAGUCCACGGUUUCUGUGGCAUAGCUAUUGGUCAUUUAGAAUCAGAAAUGGUACGAAUUGGACCAACAUCUAAGCUCAAGUGAUCCCACUGAAUUACAAUUUGUGCUCUUUUUCCA